GAGUUUGAUCCUGGCUCAGGAUGAACGCUAGCGGCAGGCUUAAUACAUGCAAGUCGUGGGGCAGCAUGAGUGUAGCAAUACAUUUGAUGGCGACCGGCAAACGGGUGCGGAACACGUACACAACCUUCCUUUAAGUGGGGGAGUAGCCCAGGGAAACUUGGAUUAAUACCCCGUAAUAUAUAGAGGCGGCAUCGCCUUUAUAUUAUAGCAGCAAUGCGCUUGAAGAUGGGUGUGCGGCUGAUUAGAUAGUUGGCGGGGUAACGGCCCACCAAGUCGACGAUCAGUAACUGGUGUGAGAGCACGACCAGUCACACGGGCACUGAGACACGGGCCCGACUCCUACGGGAGGCAGCAGUAAGGAAUAUUGGUCAAUGGACGCAAGUCUGAACCAGCCAUGCCGCGUGGAGGAUGAAGGUCCUCUGGAUUGUAAACUUCUUUUAUCUGGGGAAAGAAAAAGGGAAUUUCUUUCCCGUCUGACGGUACCAGAUGAAUAAGCACCGGCUAACUCCGUGCCAGC
rnacentral:rRNA from 2 species